rnacentral:lncRNA from 1 species
GGCGGUUUGAGUGGCGGCGGCGGGUUUUGGUUACCAGCGAGAUGCAGCAGCAGCGAGAGCAAACACGUCCCUGUAAAAUGGGGCUCAGCAAGGGGAAAGUGGUGUUGGACAGAAGCUCAUCAAUCAGCAGUGAUCUGGAGAGAUGCUCUAUACACACUGGCACUGAGGAGGAUCGCAGGAAUAGCUCUCAGAGCAAAGUCACUGUGGAGAAACUAGAAAGGGAAAACGCUAAGCUGAAAAUGCAGUAUGAAGAGCUGAAGCGCCAGUAUGUGCAGCUCCUGGAGGAGGCGAAGGAGGAGAAGUUUGAGGAAAGGAGAGUCAACCUGCUCAAAGCUCAGGUUAUGCAGCUGGAAAGACAGGUGAUUUUGCUGUCUGAAGGUCUGAGCUCGCAGCUGUGCUGCAGUCAGGAUGUAGAGAAGGCUCUUGAUCCUCUAACACACAGAUUAAGAUCACUGCUGAGCUCUGGAGGUGCUGAUGAGGUGAUCAUAGCUUGGUCUGAGCUCACCCAGCUCGUGGAAAGGUGUGAAGAUGUGAAGCAGAAGCUCCACAGGAAAAUUAAGGUGUCCACACCGCUGAGUUUUAGAGAUCCGUGCUGCAGCUGCUGUAUAUCUGGCCUGAAUAGCGGUUCUGGAGAGUUCUUUGGCUGUCAGAUUUAUUCUGCUCUGGCGUGCUGCAAAAGAAUGUACUAGCCUCAGGCAUCAUCAGUGUGAGCAGCGCUUCGCAGAAUACGUUUCUGCUCAUUACCGAGCCGACGGCCAAAGAGCUUUUCUUUCCAGCCUGAAGAGCCAGCAGAGUCGUUAAAAACAGACUAAACUGCCAAGCCAGAGAAGCUCACAUUUAAUCUCUACUGUCCCGGGGCGGCUCAGACUGUGCAGACGGAGCCAUCCAGUGAUGGAUUGGUGACUAAAAAUUAGAGAUGAUCACAUUUUCUCAUUUGUAAUGCUGAUACUAAAACCCUGAGUAUUAGCUGAUACUUAUAUCAAUCCAAUGUUUUUCCAUAAAACUGUGGAAACCGUAAAAAAUAACUAAAAAUGAUUAAUUAAACUCCGAUUUAAUUUGCUUAGGCUAAGUUUCCAAAUUUGUUCCGACACUUCUGGGCAACCACCAAGAGAGCAGCAGAAAAGUCCUGAAAAGGAAGUUACUUUUUAUGUUGUCCCUUUAUUAACUGUGCUUUUGCCAAAUCAAACAAAUUGGUAGACGUUAUUGGUAUGGUAUUACGGUAUUAUGGUGGGUUAUUAAACUAGUCUUCAGAAUGGGACUCUUAAGCCAUCUUAAGUGCUUUAUCUCCAUCGUCAUCUAAGCUUUAACGUCAGGAGAUGACCACCACAUUAAUACAACACCCUUUCAUAGCCAGGGGUCCUAAAAAGCAGUUAUUUCUCUCUCCGGGUGGAGAGGAUGGCUCUCGUUCUCCCCCCAUUCACUCAGUGUUCUGCUACUAGGCAGCGUUGGUGUCUGUUGGCUGAUAUGAAAUAAACUGUUAGUUUUUUUUUUUUUUUUUUUGCA